rnacentral:rRNA from 1 species
UACAGAGGUCUCAAGCGUUGUUCGGAUUCAUUGGGCGUAAAGGGUGUGUAGGUGGCGCCGUAAGUCGGGUGUGAAAUUUCGGAGCUUAACUCCGAAACUGCAUUCGAUACUGCGGUGCUUGAGGACUGGAGAGGAGACUGGAAUUCAUGGUGUAGCAGUGAAAUGCGUAGAGAUCAUGAGGAAGACCAGUGGCGAAGGCGGGUCUCUGGGCAUUAACUGACGCUGAGGAGCGAAAGCAUGGGGAGCGAACAGG